rnacentral:rRNA from 1 species
ACGAACGCUGGCGGCACGCUUAACACAUGCAAGUCGAACGAGAGAAGAGAAGCUUGCUUUUCUGAUCUAGUGGCGGACGGGUGAGUAACACGUGAGCAAUCUGCCUUUCAGAGGGGGAUACCGAUUGGAAACGAUCGUUAAUACCGCAUAACAUAAUUGAACCGCAUGAUUUGAUUAUCAAAGAUUUAUCGCUGAAAGAUGAGCUCGCGUCUGAUUAGCUAGUUGGUAAGGUAACGGCUUACCAAGGCGACGAUCAGUAGCCGGACUGAGAGGUUGAUCGGCCACAUUGGGACUGAGACACGGCCCAGACUCCUACGGGAGGCAGCAGUGGGGAAUAUUGCACAAUGGAGGAAACUCUGAUGCAGCGAUGCCGCGUGAGGGAAGAAGGUUUUAGGAUUGUAAACCUCUGUCUUCAGGGACGAAAAAAGACGGUACCUGAGGAGGAAGCUCCGGCUAACUACGUGCCAGCAGCCGCGGUAAUACGUAGGGAGCGAGCGUUGUCCGGAAUUACUGGGUGUAAAGGGAGCGUAGGCGGGAUCGCAAGUCAGAUGUGAAAACUAUGGGCUUAACCCAUAAACUGCAUUUGAAACUGUGGUUCUUGAGUGAAGUAGAGGUAAGCGGAAUUCCUAGUGUAGCGGUGAAAUGCGUAGAUAUUAGGAGGAACAUCAGUGGCGAAGGCGGCUUACUGGGCUUUAACUGACGCUGAGGCUCGAAAGCGUGGGGAGCAAACAGGAUUAGAUACCCUGGUAGUCCACGCCGUAAACGAUGAUUACUAGGUGUGGGGGGACUGACCCCUUCCGUGCCGCAGCAAACGCAAUAAGUAAUCCACCUGGGGAGUACGACCGCAAGGUUGAAACUCAAAGGAAUUGACGGGGGCCCGCACAAGCAGUGGAGUAUGUGGAUUAAUUCGAAGCAACGCGAAGAACCUUACCAGGUCUUGACAUCGUAUGCAUAGCUCAGAGAUGAGUGAAAUCUCUUCGGAGACAUAUAGACAGGUGGUGCAUGGUUGUCGUCAGCUCGUGUCGUGAGAUGUUGGGUUAAGUCCCGCAACGAGCGCAACCCUUACUGUUAGUUGCUACGCAAGAGCACUCUAGCAGGACUGCCGUUGACAAAACGGAGGAAGGUGGGGAUGACGUCAAAUCAUCAUGCCCCUUAUGACCUGGGCCUCACACGUACUACAAUGGCUGUAAACAGAGGGAUGCAAAGCCGCGAGGUGGAGCGAACCCCUAAAAGCAGUCUUAGUUCGGAUUGUAGGCUGCAACCCGCCUACAUGAAGUCGGAAUUGCUAGUAAUCGCAGAUCAGCAUGCUGCGGUGAAUACGUUCCCGGGCCUUGUACACACCGCCCGUCACGCCAUGGGAGUCGGUAACACCCGAAGCCUGUAGUCUAACCGCAAGGAGGACGCAGUCGAAGGUGGGAUUGAUGACUGGGGUG